rnacentral:rRNA from 1 species
AGGACGAACGCUGGCGGCGCGCCUAAAACAUGCAAGUCGAACGUGAAGCCCGGAGCUUGCUCUGGGUGGAAAGUGGCGAACGGGUGAGGAACACGUGAGCAACCUGUCCCGAAGACUGGGAUAACACCGGGAAACCGGUGCUAAUACCGGAUACCCCCAUCGGACCGCAUGAUCUGAUGAGGAAAUGAAUUUCGCUUCGGGAGGGGCUCGCGGGCUAUCAGCUUGUUGGUGGGGUAACGGCCUACCAAGGCGACGACGGCUAGCUGGUCUGAGAGGACGACCAGCCACACUGGGACUGAGACACGGCCCAGACUCCUACGGGAGGCAGCAGUGGGGAAUCUUGCGCAAUGGGCGAAAGCCUGACGCAGCAACGCCGCGUGGGGGAUGAAUGCCUUCGGGUUGUAAACCCUUUCAGCAGGGACGAAUCUGACGGUACCUGCAGAAGAAGCCCGGCCAACUACGUGCCAGCAGCCGC